rnacentral:tRNA from 1 species
GGUUGUGACUCAGUGGUAGAGCGCUCGCCUAGCAUGGUGAGGCGCUGGGUUCGAUCCUCAGCACCA